rnacentral:rRNA from 1 species
UACGUAGGGUGCAGGCGUUAAUCGGAAUUACUGGGCGUAAAGCGUGCGCAGGCGGCUUCCUAAGUCAGACGUGAAAUCCCUCAGCUUAACUGGGGAACUGCGUCUGAGACUGGCGAGCUUGAGUGCAGGAGAGGAACGCGGAAUUCCAGGUGUAGCGGUGAAAUGCGUAGAUAUCUGGAGGAACACCGGUGGCGAAGGCGGCGUUCUGGACCGCAACUGACACUGAGAAACGAAAGCCAGGGGAGCAAACGGG